rnacentral:tRNA from 1 species
AAAUGUGAUGAUUUUAGAAGUCAUGAAUGUAUAAUUUAUUAUAUAGAUAGUAUAAUGUAUAUAAUAGAUUUA